CCCUUAGACGUUCUGGGCCGCACGCGCGCUACACUGACGAAGGCAACGAGCUUUCCUUUACCGAAAGGUACGGGUAAUCUUUUGAAACUUCGUCGUGCUGGGGAUAGAUCCUUGCAAUUUUUGAUCUUAAACGAGGAAUGCCUAGUAAGCGCAAGUCAUCAACUUGCGUUGAUUACGUCCCUGCCCUUUGUGCACACCGCCCGUCGCUACUACCGAUUGAAUGGUUUAGUGAGGCCUUCGGAUCCGCGACUCGUUUUGUGGAGAAGUUGGACAAACUCAGUCAUUUAGAGGAAGUAAAAGUCGUAACA
rnacentral:rRNA from 1 species